UUUCAGGUAUAGUCCCUGUGUGAUGUUGUCACCCUUGGUGGGAAUAGGUCGUUGACUACAGACAUCACCAACCAUUUAGUUGAGGAUCCUGCAUAGUCUACAUAAAGUAAAGGAGGAGAUGCACAUGAGGAUGUGCCAGAGGCGACUACUGCUGAUAACAUACCAUCAUUUCUUGGAUCUUCUCAUAUUGCUAGUACGAGAACGUUGUAGGCCACAUUGGUGGUGAGCGACCAAGAAAUGAUUCCCUUAAAGAUACAAAAGGUUCCAGGUAAUGAUAUUUUCUGUAAACAUCUUAGUGACAUUGCAUUGUAGAUAUUUGGGCCCACGAUACAUAAAAGGUGAAAUGACCAAGAAAAAAGGUUAAAAGAUGAAUUGACAAACCAAAUGGUUGGGUGGUUUAGAAAUGACACCUUUGACAAAACCAAGCUCCUUGAAAAAGAUGGCACAUAUCUAAAGUAUGUGAGGGACCAAUAUAGGACCCAUUUAGAGAGGAACCUAAAGCACGAGUGUCCCCCCAUGAUUCCAGAGAGGGAGUGGAAGGACCUGAUUUUGGAUGCCAAGGAGAGAAUUGAAAGGAAAAAAGGAAAUACACCACCAGAUGCCAG